rnacentral:rRNA from 1 species
GACGAACGCUGGCGGCGUGCUUAACACAUGCAAGUCGAACGGAAAGGCCCUGCUUUUGUGGGGUGCUCGAGUGGCGAACGGGUGAGUAACACGUGGGUAACCUGCCCUUGACUUUGUGAUAACUUCAGGAAACUGGGGCUAAUACCGGAUAGGAGCUCCUGCUGCAUGGUGGGGGUUGGAAAGUUUCGGCGGUUGGGGAUGGACUCGCGGCUUAUCAGCUUGUUGGUGGGGUAGUGGCUUACCAAGGCUUUGACGGGUAGCCGGCCUGAGAGGGUGACCGGCCACAUUGGGACUGAGAUACGGCCCAGACUCCUACGGGAGGCAGCAGUGGGGAAUAUUGCACAAUGGGCGGAAGCCUGAUGCAGCAACGCCGCGUGCGGGAUGACGGCCUUCGGGUUGUAAACCGCUUUCGCCUGUGACGAAGCGUGAGUGACGGUAAUGGGUAAAGAAGCACCGGCUAACUACGUG